UACGUAGGCAGCGAGCGUUGUUCGGAGUUACUGGGCGUAAAGGGUGUGUAGGCGGUUCUUUAAGUUUGGUGUGAAAUCUCCCGGCUCAACCGGGAGGGUGCGCCGAAUACUGAGGGACUAGAGUGCGGGAGAGGAAAGUGGAAUUCCUGGUGUAGCGGUGAAAUGCGUAGAUAUCAGGAGGAACACCGGUGGUGUAGACGGCUUUCUGGACCGUAACUGACGCUGAGACACGGAAGCGUGGGUAGCAAACAGG
rnacentral:rRNA from 1 species